rnacentral:rRNA from 1 species
UACGUAGGGGGCAAGCGUUGUCCGGAAUCAUUGGGCGUAAAGCGCGUGUAGGCGGCUCGGUAAGUCCGCUGUGAAAGUCCAGGGCUCAACCCUGGAAAGCCGGUGGAAACUGUCGAGCUCGAGUCCGGAAGAGGCGAGUGGAAUUCCUGGUGUAGCGGUGAAAUGCGCAGAUAUCAGGAGGAACACCAAUGGCGAAGGCGGCUCUCUGGACCAGCACUGACACUGAGGCACGAAAGCGUGGGGAGCAAACAGG